rnacentral:rRNA from 1 species
UACGAAGGGGGCUAGCGUUGCUCGGAAUUACUGGGCGUAAAGCGCACGUAGGCGGAUUGUUAAGUCGGGGGUGAAAUCCUGGAGCUCAACUCCAGAACUGCCUUCGAUACUGGCGAUCUCGAGUUCAGGAGAGGUGAGUGGAACUGCGAGUGUAGAGGUGAAAUUCGUAGAUAUUCGCAAGAACACCAGUGGCGAAGGCGGCUCACUGGCCCGAUACUGACGCUGAGGUGCGAAAGCCAGGGGAGCAAACGGG